rnacentral:rRNA from 1 species
UGGGGAAUAUUGCACAAUGGGCGAAAGCCUGAUGCAGCGACGCCGCGUGAGGGAUGACGGCCUUCGGGUUGUAAACCUCUUUCAGCAGGGAAGAAGCGAAAGUGACGGUACCUGCAGAAGAAGCGCCGGCUAACUACGUGCCAGCAGCCGCGGUAAUACGUAGGGCGCAAGCGUUGUCCGGAAUUAUUGGGCGUAAAGAGCUCGUAGGCGGUUAGUCGCGUCUGCUGUGAAAACUCGAGGCUCAACCUCGGGCUUGCAGUGGGUACGGGCUGACUAGAGUGCGGUAGGGGUGACUGGAAUUCCUGGUGUAGCGGUGGAAUGCGCAGAUAUCAGGAGGAACACCGAUGGCGAAGGCAGGUCACUGGGCCGCAACUGACGCUGAGGAGCGAAAGCAUGGGGAGCGAACAGGAUUAGAUACCCCUGGUAGUCCAUGCCGUAAACGUUGGGCACUAGGUGUGGGUCCAUUCCACGGAUUCCGUGCCGCAGCAAACGCAUUAAGUGCCCCGCCUGGGGAGUACGGCCGCAAGGCUAAAACUUAAAUGAAUUGACGGGGGUCAUAGCUGUUU